AUGCCUUCUGAUGCCAUCCACACCGAGGAAGAGUUCGAUGUAUCUGGAAUUUUUGAGCCAAUUCAACCCACUACUGAAAUGGAAGACUGCUUCGACGACAUGCAUGGGGAAGAUAUACUAUACGAUGAUGAUGACGACGACAUGCAUGGGGAAGAUAUACUAUACGAUGAUGAUGACGAAGAAUGCAGGAUAUUUACUGCACAGGGUCAUCACUUCGAGUCAUAUAGAGUGACAGCUACUGCUGAUUUGGGUAUACAGAAUGAUGACCCUUAUGACAAUAUCUACAAAAAACUACCGAAGAGGCAUCAUGUUUUGAAGAGAAGUGAGUGA
rnacentral:rRNA from 1 species